rnacentral:rRNA from 1 species
GCGGCCUAUCAGCUUGUUGGUGGGGUAAUGGCUCACCAAGGCGACGACGGGUAGCCGGCCUGAGUGGGCGACCGGCCACACUGGGACUGAGACACGGCCCAGACUCCUACGGGAGGCAGCAGUGGGGAAUCUUGCGCAAUGGGCGAAAGCCUGACGCAGCAACGCCGCGUGCGGGAUGAAGGCCUUCGGGUUGUAAACCGCUUUCAGCAGGAACGAAAAUGACGGUACCUGCAGAAGAAGGAGCGGCCAACUACGUGCCAGCAGCCGCGGUGACACGUAGGCUCCAAGCGUUGUCCGGAUUUAUUGGGCGUAAAGAGCUCGUAGGCGGUUUAGUAAGUCGGGUGUUAAAACUCUGGGCUCAACCCGGAGACGCCAUCCGAUACUACUAUGACUUGAGUUCAGGAGGGGAGACUGGAAUUCCU